rnacentral:siRNA from 1 species
AUGAUGUACCUCUUGAAUAUGUA